UCUCUCUCUCUCUCUCUCUCUCAUUCUCUCAUUCUCUUUCUUUCCUUUUUUUCUUUUUAACUUUCUAUUUCAUGUGGACACGCAAGUGUUCGAAAAAAUAGGGACACGUGUCAAAUAGUAUUUUUUCUUCUUCUUCCGUUUCUCCUUCUUCUUCUUCUUCUUCUUCUUCUUCUUCUUCCUCGUACACGUUCAACGAAAGGAGGUUGAAAGAGAGAGAAGGGAGAGAGUAUGAGAGAGAGAGAGAGAGAGGUUGCCAAGUGGUGAAAGCAGUGCACGCUGCACGUGUUACUCCAACUGAGUCGUAUCGAUCGUCCGGAAGUAUACGCGAGAAUUGUUCUCGUCGUUCUCUAGUACACGCGCGUGUUACCUACAACGAUAUGGCCCGUGUUAACACGCGUGACUAAAUAUUAUCUUCCAUUUAUUCAUAUUUAUAAAUAAUAUUAUUUUAUCAUCAACAACAAUCUUCUGCUUUCGAUCGGUGUCCGUCCGUAAAAACAACCAUCGAAUCCUACCUGUCCACCAAUUGGGAUAUUUUGAUACGUUUGAAAAAUGAUUGUUAGAAAGGUUAAUUAUCGUUGAAACGAAUCUUCGUAGUAACCAAUCGUUUUUUGAUAUCCAGUGAUGUGAAGUGAUCGUUUAGAAACGUGUUUUAGUUUUCUACGAUUCAAUUUAAAGGAUUUUUCUAGACAGGACAAAAAUGAUCGUUCAUCGCAAGAUCGUCCGAUGCUUACACAAUCGAGUGAAAUUUUAUAUUCAUGGGGUUAACUUGAGAAUGCUAUAGAUAGAUAAUCGAGAAACAUAGAGAGCGCGCGCGUGAGAGAGAGAGAGAGAGAGAGAAAGAGGCACAUUCCGAGCGGAUCACGGAUGCUUAUAGAAGCGUUGCGUAACGGCGUCAGGCGAACAGCGAAAUUGCGGCGGCUGCGGCAGCAGCAGCAGCGGCUUCCGAAGCGCGUCGAGCUUCGGCAAGAUCGAAAGAAAUUGUAGAUCAUCAUCUUACGGUGCCUAUAAGGUGGUAGUGUCCAUACGAAAGAAAAAUAAAAUUCGAGGAAGUAGAAGGAGGAGAAGGUGGAAAAAGGAUUUUGUGCGAGUUAAAAGUGGAUCAUCAUCAUCAUUGGUGUCACCUAAAACAGGAUCGGAUACAAGGUGUUCUCGUGAUCUCGAUCAGGGAUCGAGGAGAGGAAAGGAGAGAGAACCCUGGCCGCGUGUGAGAGUGCGCGAGUGAGUGAGCAACGACCUGUCGUCGUCUAAGAAGAACACGAAAAAGCCUUCAAGUUGCUAGGGUAUGUUGGAUUAGCUUGCUCCGAGGGGAUUCUCUAAGUGGACAGGUAGAGAAGAUUGGGGUUGUUAGAUACGAGCAGAGGAACAAGCUGUUUCGUAUAAAAUGAGAUAGAAAGAUAAAGAGUGAGAGAAAAGUGAGAGAGAGAAAGAGAUGGAUAUAUCCCUUUGGUAGUAUCGAUUCUGCUGGUGUCUCGAAACGUUUCAAGGCCAAUCUCGGUCCCUCAAUCUACACAUUUAUUGACACACGCACGUCCGCACACACUCGAAACGCGAUAGAGAAUUAACGCGCGCGCACACGCACACACGCAUACGUAUAGGAUAAUCUCAGGAUGAUAUCGUUCGAGCUAUCUUACCGCGUGAUUAAUAGCCUCCACCUAAUGGCCCGUGGUAAUAUAACGUCGUUUAAUCCAACUAUUUAUUAUUACAUAAUUUUUGCACUUUUUCGAAUAGAAUAAAAUAUUUCGAGAUUGUGGUCUAGAAAACUGAUCCAAUUUGCACAAAAGACCGGGAGCUUAAAUAAUAGAAGCAAAAGAGGGUAAUUCUCAUGUUUAGGUAUCGUAAACGGGGGUGGUUGUUGUUCGGGUAUCCUACAGAGAUUUAGGAGGGAAAUUUAGCAAAAA
rnacentral:lncRNA from 1 species